CAUCCCAUAGUCUAGUGGUUAGGACCCCAGGUUUUGACUCUGGUAGCCUGAGUUCGAAUCUCAGUGGGAUCU